AGUUCACGAUGGCCUCAAAUUUGCCAGUGAGGAUGAGACCUUGUACUUUCUGAUCCCGAGCUGGGAUUACUGGCUAGCACCACCAUGCUCGAGGCUCUGGGUAUGGAGCCCGGAACAUGCAAAAAAGAACAGCAAGAAGCAAUUGAACAUAUUGAUGAAGUACAAAAUGAAAUAGACAGGCUUAAUGAACAAGCCAGUGAGGAAAUUUUGAAAGUAGAACAAAAAUAUAACAAACUCCGCCAACCAUUUUUUCAGAAGAGGUCAGAAUUGAUCGCCAAAAUCCCAAAUUUUUGGGUAACAACAUUUGUCAACCAUCCACAAGUGUCUGCACUGCUUGGGGAGGAAGACGAGGAGGCCCUGCACUAUUUGACCAGAGUUGAAGUGACAGAAUUUGAAGACAUUAAAUCAGGUUACAGAAUAGAUUUUUAUUUUGAUGAAAAUCCUUACUUUGAAAAUAAAGUUCUCUCCAAAGAAUUUCAUCUGAAUGAGAGCGGUGACCCAUCUUCAAAGUCCACCGAA
rnacentral:lncRNA from 1 species